rnacentral:misc_RNA from 1 species
CACGGAGGGGGCGAGCGUUAUUCGGAAUUAUUGGGCGUAAAGGGCAGGUAGGCGGCCUCGUAUGUCCUUUGUGAAAGCCCUCGGCUCAACCGAGGAAUUGCAGGGGAAACUGCGGGGCUUGAGUCCGGGAGAGGGGAGUGGAAUUCCCAGUGCAGCGGUGAAAUGCGUAGAUAUUGGGAGGAACACCAGUGGCGAAGGCGGCUCCCUGGACCGGUACUGACGCUGAGCUGCGAAAGCUAGGGGAGCGAACGGG